rnacentral:rRNA from 1 species
GAUUAUCGUGGAUUGAAUGAAGUAAUGAUCAAGAGCAAGUACCCACUGCCGAUGAUCAAUGAUUUGUUUGAUCAGCUGCAAGGAGCUAAGGUGUUUUCUAAGAUCGAUCUGCGAUCAGGGUACCACCAGCUGAAGAUUCGAGAGCAGGGUAUACCUAAGACAUCUUUUACCACAAGGUACAGGCUAUAUGAGUAUACCGUUGUGUCAUUUGGCCUGACUAACGCACCUGCCUAUUUUAUGAACAUGAUGAACAAGGUGUUUAUGGAGUUUUUGGAUAAGUUCAUUGUGGUGUUCAUUGAUGAUAUUUUGGUCUACUCGAAGAAUGAAGAAGAGCAUAAAGAGCAUUUGUGUUUAGUACUUGGGAAGCUCAUAGAACAUCAGCUAUACGCCAAG